rnacentral:tRNA from 1 species
GUAGACGUAGUUUAAUAAAAACCUUAGAUUGUGAUUCUAAAAACAAGGGUUAAAACCCCUUCGUCCACC